rnacentral:tRNA from 1 species
GGAGAAGUGGCCGAGUCGGUCGAAGGCGCUCCCCUGCUAAGGGAGUAUACUGGAAACAGUAUCGAGAGUUCGAAUCUCUUCUUCUCCUCCA